ensembl:lncRNA
GGAGCAUUCAUUUGCUUCCUUCAUCCCUUGUGAAGAUAUUGCUAUAAAAUGCACAAAGGCAUUACGUUGCGAGCGAGACGCUGCGGUGCAGGUUUCGUGAGAAAAGAGGGCGACCAGAGGGAAAGAGACGGAACAUCAAAAUGCAAGAUCACAUCCAGCCUGUGGGCCUCGGCGUCAGGCGGGACGUGUUUCUGAGCAGAAGACAUCCGCCGCCGGCGGACGGGAAUGUAUGACGUAGAAGGAAAGGCGCUGAGCGGGGAAGCUACGCAUGCUUUGCAUUUCUUGAGGAGCGACACACAUCUUGAUA